AUUGAACGCUGGCGGCAUGCCUUACACAUGCAAGUCGAACGGCAGCGGACCUUCGGGUGCCGGCGAGUGGCGAACGGGUGAGUAAAGUAUCGGAACGUACCUUUCAGUGGGGGAUAACGUAGCGAAAGUUACGCUAAUACCGCAUAUUCUGUGAGCAGGAAAGCAGGGGAUCGCAAGACCUUGCGCUGAUUGAGCGGCCGAUAUCAGAUUAGCUAGUUGGUGAGGUAAAGGCUCACCAAGGCGACGAUCUGUAGCGGGUCUGAGAGGAUGAUCCGCCACAAUGGAACUGAGACACGGUCCAGACUCCUACGGGAGGCAGCAGUGGGGAAUUUUGGACAAUGGGGGCAACCCUGAUCCAGCCAUGCCGCGUGAGUGAAGAAGGCCUUCGGGUUGUAAAGCUCUUUCGGCCGGGAAGAAAUCGCGCCAGUUAAUACCUGGUGUGGAUGACGGUACCGGAAUAAGAAGCACCGGCUAACUACGUGCCAGCCGCCGCCGUAAAAC
rnacentral:rRNA from 1 species